UGGGGAAUCUUGCACAAUGGAGGAAACUCUGAUGCAGCUGAUGCCGCGUGAGUGAAGAAGGCCCUUGGGUUGUAAAGCUCUUUCGUCGGGGAAGAAAAUGACUGUACCCGAAUAAGAAGGUCCGGCUAACUUCGUGCCAGCAGCCGCGGUAAUACGAAGGGACCUAGCGUAGUUCGGAAUUACUGGGCUUAAAGAGUUCGUAGGUGGUUGAAAAAGUUAGUGGUGAAAUCCCAGAGCUUAACUCUGGAACUGCCAUUAAAACUUUUCAGCUAGAGUAUGAUAGAGGAAAGCAGAAUUUCUAGUGUAGAGGUGAAAUUCGUAGAUAUUAGAAAGAAUACCAAUUGCGAAGGCAGCUUUCUGGAUCAUUACUGACACUGAGGAACGAAAGCAUGGGUAGCGAAGAGGAUUAGAUACCCUCGUAGUCCAUGCCGUAAACGAUGUGUGUUAGACGUUGGAAAUUUAUUUUUCAGUGUNGNAGGGAAACCGAUAAACACACCGCCUGGGGAGUACG
rnacentral:rRNA from 1 species